UGUAGUCUAGUGGUAGAAUGCUUGCCUAUCAUGCACAAGGCCCAGGGUUCAAUUCCCUGCA
rnacentral:tRNA from 1 species